rnacentral:lncRNA from 1 species
GCUUUUCUUGAAGGUUAAAAUCAAAAUAUUUAAAGCCAAUGAUUGAUUGUAAGAAGUGAACAGUUGAAGAGCUAUAUGAUCAACAGUGACCUAAAAUUAUGAAUUCAAAGCAGAAAGCCAACUAAUCUUUUGCUAUAACGUUAAACGACAAAUAUUUCUGACAGACAGCAAUUUACGACAAAUAUUUAUGACAGACAGCAAUUUACGACAAACACUGAAUAUCAGACAUAUCAAGAAGAAGCGGUGCUAAGCAUGUCAGAACUCUAAAUAUGUUAGACAUGAGCACGAGCACCACUUUUGUUUUUCUAGACAUGAUGCUUUAAAACUUAAAUAAAUAAUACAAAGAAAGAAGAAAGGUACCAAAUGAACAUUUAAUCUCACAAUUCAAAACCUUACUGACAACACCAUGAAAAAAAGAUUUAAAGACAACCGUAUAUAUACAAAACAAACAAAAAAGACCAAAAGACAACCGUAUACAAAACACAACAGAAAAUAAAAGACUGAGCAACACAAACCCAACCUAAACCGUCGGUAUUCUCAGGUGUCCUGUCGUGUUGCUCAUGUUAGUACAAACCCACAGAUAAAUGUAGUCGGAUUAUUACCAUUCGAGGACAUGGAGG